rnacentral:rRNA from 1 species
GACGAACGCUGGCGGCGUGCUUAACACAUGCAAGUCGAACGGAAAGGCCCUGCUUGCCGGGUACUCGAGUGGCGAACGGGUGAGUAACACGUGGGUGAUCUGCCCUGCACUUCGGGAUAAGCCUGGGAAACUGGGUCUAAUACCGGAUAGGACCCAUUUUUAGUGUGAUGGUUGGAAAGUUUUUUCGGUGUAGGAUGAGCUCGCGGCCUAUCAGCUUGUUGGUGGGGUAAUGGCCUACCAAGGCGGCGACGGGUAGCCGGCCUGAGAGGGUGGACGGCCACAUUGGGACUGAGAUACGGCCCAGACUCCUACGGGAGGCAGCAGUGGGGAAUAUUGCACAAUGGGCGCAAGCCUGAUGCAGCGACGCCGCGUGGGGGAUGACGGCCUUCGGGUUGUAAACUCCUUUCGCUAGGGACGAAGCUUUUUGUGACGGUACCUAGAUAAGAAGCACCGGCUAACUACGUG